rnacentral:rRNA from 1 species
UACGAAGGGGGCUAGCGUUGCUCGGAAUCACUGGGCGUAAAGGGUGCGUAGGCGGGUCUUUAAGUCAGGGGUGAAAUCCUGGAGCUCAACUCCAGAACUGCCUUUGAUACUGAGGAUCUUGAGUACGGGAGAGGUGAGUGGAACUGCGAGUGUAGAGGUGAAAUUCGUAGAUAUGUGCAAGAACACCAGUGGCGAAGGCGGCUCACUGGCCCGUAACUGACGCUGAGGCACGAAAGCGUGGGGAGCAAACAGG